CCCAUGCAUGGGGACUGUGGCCAGCGGCGCCGCCGGGCUCGCCCGCGCGCGCGCGCGCUCCACCAACCAUCACGUGCUCAUUCUUUGGCGCGGCCCUCGCGGCCCCGCCGAUAAGGGAAUGUCCUCAGCACGUCCAACCGCCACGCGAAAGCUUUGAGGUUACAGUCUCAGGGGGA
rnacentral:rRNA from 1 species